GACGAACCGUGCGAACGUUGUUCGGAAUCACUGGGCUUAAAGGGCGCGUAGGCGGGCUGUCCAGUCUGGGGUGAAAUCCCGCGGCUCAACCGUGGAACUGCCUCAGAUACUGACGGCCUCGAGGGAGAUAGGGGCAUGCGGAACUGUAGGUGGAGCGGUGAAAUGCGUUGAUAUCUACAGGAACUCCGGUGGCGAAGGCGGCGUGCUGGAUCUCUUCUGACGCUGAGGCGCGAAAGCUAGGGGAGCAAACGGGAUUAGAUACCCCCGUAGUCC
rnacentral:rRNA from 1 species